UACAUUCACCUCUGUAAAUCGCUCUGGAUAAGAGCGUCUGCUAAAUGACUAGAA
rfam:Salmo salar isolate Sally breed double haploid chromosome ssa06, whole genome shotgun sequence.